UAGUGCUUCUAGCUGAACUAUGAUG
rnacentral:piRNA from 1 species